UGAAAUCUUCCUCGGGGCCGUAUAGCCAGUACAAAAGCGAAGUAGAUGUAUACGAGUUUUACACUCUCUUCCGUUUUCACAACUGUUUAUUUUUCAGUUUCUCAGCAACUCUAGGUUUCUCAUUUCUUUUCUUUUUUUUUGGUGUAAAUGUUAAGAUAAAAAAGUAGUAAAAAGUUUAUCAUUUCUUUUCACUUGGAUAGAUGAUACCUACGUUAUUUUGUUUAACAUGGAGCAUCAACAGAUCUCGGAGCAUGUAAGAUCUGUUGUUUGUCUCGGGGAUCUGCUGGUCGUUCCAUGUUAAACUAAACAAUGUAGGUGUGUUCUCCAAUAAAUUGGCUAAGUCUAUCAUCCAAGUGAAAAGAAAAUGUGAAUCUUGCGUUGUUGUGAGACUGAAAAAAAAAAAGAAAAGAAAGAAUUUCCAGGUUUUUGAUCUUCUCCAGAGGAAUCUGAGUUUUUGCAACCACCACCAAAGAUCUCUGGUUUCUUUCUUUUAUUAUUGACUACCACCAUGUUGUGGGCUUCACAGAGGGAGAAGUUUAGAGUCUGAUGCUGUUUCUUUACAGAAGAAAGAGAACGCAAGUGUUUAAUGUAUCGUAUUCUAUUAAAACUUCAAUUAAUCUACUGGAUCAGAUUAAGAAAUUUGUAUAUGUUAAUAGGUAAUUGCUUUUGAACUUUUUUUGCGCUCGUGUUGGAUAUUCUGACCGGUCAUUUGUUCUGUGGCAUGUUGCCAUUCUGUGAGUCUUGAGUCUUUACAUUGUACUGAGAGAUAAGAAUCAAAAUGUGUUUAAAGCGUAGUUUAACAAGCAAGUGUUUGGGAAAGCUAGCAAAAUAUGACUCAAUUAUGUUUUUGAACGACUGGAUUUUCAUGCUACACAUAUAAAACAUUAUAUCUUAGGUUAAGGAUGUAAAAGCACUUUCUUGUAACGAAUCAUAACUGUAGAAUGU
rnacentral:lncRNA from 1 species